rnacentral:misc_RNA from 1 species
ACUAAUUAGGAAUACUAAACCAAUGCUGAGUAGGAAUAUUAAAUAAACUCAAACUUCCUAGAUAAAAUAAAAUACUACUUCGUAAUUAAAUUUCUUAAAUAAUAGAAAUAAAAAAUUCUCAAUUUUACAGUGAAAAAUUAAUUAACAUAAUUGUUAAAUUGAGUCUUCUUAGGCAACAUCAACUUGAGAAGAGAAAAAGUAGAUAGAAGGAAUGGGCAUGACAAUAUGAUCAAAAGAAUAUAAUAUCAUCAACACUCCCAUCUACUUAAUGUCUACAUAAAAAAAAGAUGAAAAAUGAAAUAAAUGCUUUCCUAGACACUUGAGAAUAUAAAUUUACACUUUUUCUACUCCCUCAAAAUAAUAAAAUUGUUACAAAAGUUGAAGGUUCUAGGAAAUCUAGCUGAUAAAGUUUCUCAACUGGGAUCAAAUUUUCUGCACUAAAAAAUAGGACAUUUAAAGGAAGAGGAGAGCUAAGCCAUUAAAUGAAAGAAGAAGAAAAGGAAUUUUCAUAGUCUUUUUAUUAGUUUGCUGCUUCUCUAUGAUACCCAAUUAAGAUAUUAUAUGUACAUAAAUAUCCAACCCCAUAUAUGAAGGCAUCCUCUUUCCAAAACACAUGAAUCAAAUCUUCACUUCUAGCUAGCCCUAUCACAUGGAGUGCAACUUCUUCUUGCAUAAAUUGUGACAAAAAAUGAACAUCACAAAAGGCCAAUCAGCUGAACACUUUAAAAUAUAUAUAUAUAUAUAUUCUUUUAUGUUAUGCUCAAAUAAUUAUCAUAUCAAAGUCUAUA